AAGUCGUAACAAGGUUUCCGUAGGUGAACCUGCGGAAGGAUCAUUAACACGUAUCCAACGUUAAACCCCCCGUGAACCUUCAGUGCGCUCGCACUUUCUUAGAAAAGGUAGCAAUCCCUGGUAAAUCAUUGCCGAACAGUUUUGAUUCAGGGACUUCUGCGUAGACUGUGCUUGAGCGUGAGGCAAGUGGCCUGGCAUUCCUCUGCUUGUUGGUGUCUGAAAGUGUCACCAGCUCUGUACGAAUGGCGCAGUCACGAUCGCUAGAGGCCGACACGGCGACCGCGUCACCAUUGCAUGAAAACGGGCCUGCGCUUAAUUGUGCGGCCACCAAACUCGAACAACUGUUAACAAUGGAUAUCUUGGUUCUC
rnacentral:misc_RNA from 1 species